rnacentral:rRNA from 1 species
ACGUGGGGAACCUGCCCCAUAGUCUGGGAUACUACUUGGAAACAGGUGCUAAUACCGGAUAAGAAAGCGGAUCGCAUGAUCAGCUUUUAAAAGGCGGCGUAAGCUGUCGCUAUGGGAUGGCCCCGCGGUGCAUUAGCUAGUUGGUAAGGUAAAGGCUUACCAAGGCGAUGAUGCAUAGCCGAGUUGAGAGACUGAUCGGCCACAUUGGGACUGAGACACGGCCCAAACUCCUACGGGAGGCAGCAGGU